rnacentral:rRNA from 1 species
CGGAGGAAAAGAAACCAACAGGGAUUGCCUCAGUAACGGCGAGUGAAGCGGCAACAGCUCAAAUUUGAAAUCUGGCCCUAGGCCCGAGUUGUAAUUUGCAGAGGAUGCUUUGGGUGCGGUGCCUUCCAAGUUCCCUAGAACGGGACGCCAGAGAGGGUGAGAGCCCCGUACAGUUGGACACCAAGCCUUUGUAAAGCUCCUUCGACGAGUCGAGUAGUUUGGGAAUGCUGCUCAAAAUGGGAGGUAUAUUUCUUCUAAAGCUAAAUACCGGCCAGAGACCGAUAGCGCACAAGUAGAGUGAUCGAAAGAUGAAAAGCACUUUGAAAAGAGGGUUAAACAGCACGUGAAAUUGUUAAAAGGGAAGCGCUUGUGACCAGACUUGCGUCCGGUGAAUCACCCAGCUCUCGCGGCUGGGGCACUUCGCCGGCUCAGGCCAGCAUCAGCUCGCUGUCGGGGACAAAAGCUUCAGGAACGUAGCUCUCUUCGGGGAGUGUUAUAGCCUGUUGCAUAAUACCCUUCGGCGGGCUGAGGUACGCGCUCCGCAAGGAGGCUAUCAUAAUGGUCAUCAGCGA